UAAUACGUAGGGACCAAGCGUUGUUCGGAUUUACUGGGCGUAAAGGGCGCGUAGGCGGCAAUUCAAGUCAUCUGUGAAAUCUCCGGGCUUAACUCGGAACGGUCAGAUGAUACUGCUUUGCUAGAGUACAGAAGGGGCAAUCGGAAUUCUUGGUGUAGCGGUGAAAUGCGUAGAUAUCAAGAGGAACACCUGAGGUGAAGACGGGUUGCUGGGCUGAUACUGACGCUGAGGCGCGAAAGCUAGGGUAGCAAACGGGAUUAGAUACCCCGGUAGUCCUAGCCCUAAACGAUGAAUACUUGGUGUCUGGAGUUUUAAUCCUCCGGGUGCCGUCGCUAACGUUUUAAGUAUUCCGCCUGGGGAGUACGCACGCAAGUGUG
rnacentral:rRNA from 1 species